UAGGCCAGGAGAGGGGAGUACUAGAACACUGUAGCUGCUGACGAUGUAAAAGUAUAGCAUGAUGAAAAGAAGAGGGACCAGACAGGAUAUUAAAAAAGACUAUGAGAGAUAAAAUGUUCAAAUUCAUACCAGCUUGUCCAGAAAUCACUUUCCAAGGAUUACUCAGCCCUUAUAAUAAAAAUACAAACAAUUAGGAUUACAACAAUUACAACAAUAAGCUUACAAAACUACACUAACUACAGUACAUAAUAAUGGUACAUGAAU